UGGGGAAUUUUGGACAAUGGGGGAAACCCUGAUCUAGCCAUCCCGCGUGUGCGAUGAAGGCCUUCGGGUUGUAAAGCACUUUUGGCAGGAAAGAAACGUCAUGGGUUAAUACCCCGUGAAACUGACGGUACCUGCAGAAUAAGCACCGGCUAACUACGUGCCAGCAGCCGCGGUAAUACGCAGGGUGCAAGCGUUAAUCGGAAUUACUGGGCGUAAAGCGUGCGCAGGCGGUUCGGAAAGAAAGAUGUGAAAUCCCAGAGCUCAACUUUGGAACUGCAUUUUUAACUACCGGGAUAGAGUGUGUCAGAGGGAGGUGGAAUUCCGCGUGUAGCAGUGAAAUGCGUAGAUAUGCGGAGGAACACCGAUGGCGAAGGCAGCCUCCUGGGAUAACACUGACGCUCAUGCACGAAAGCGUGGGGAGCAAACAGGA
rnacentral:rRNA from 1 species